rnacentral:lncRNA from 1 species
CCAAAACUAAAAUAUCUUUCCAUAAAGUCUCCAAAUAGCUACUAGAACCCGAGCUUGGACAUGUUAAUACGGAUAAUUGUUUCUUCUUUAUUUAUUUAAGAUAGGGAGAGGUUAAAAAAAAACUAUAAAUGCACCAAUCCAAUCAUUUGAGACGACAGAGAAUGAAAUGCAACGAACAAUAAAUCAAGUUCGAAAAGUGAAGGGAAAAAAAGAGAAACCAAUAGAAAGUCGCC